UUCUUUCUGAGGCUCGCGCGCUUUGCUGUUGGCUGCGUAAUUAGGCAUGUUCUUCUGCGCUUCGGCUUGGCCGGGCACCGCUAACUCCGAGUUCCGGGCAGGCCUCACUCUUACUCUGUCACCCUGCUGUAGUACCUGGGAACAACAACCGAAAGGGCCUCAUCUUCCAGCAGGUGGAGCUUUCCUGCGGCGCCGCCAGACGAUCGAGGUGUAUCCUGUGCUGUGGAUGAACUGCACCACCAAAUAGAUUUCAUGGCAAGCUACAACAGUUUCUCCUGCAUGAAUUUCUGUUUGUGUUGUGGGUAAGUUAAAGAUUUAGAGCUGGGGGUGGGGGGCACCUUGAAGAUAAAAUCCAGUCUGCCCACAGUGAAAAGGCAGUUUGGUUGUGGAUGGUAAGGGGCUCUAGCCAGUAGCUGACAAUAGCUGAAUAGCCAUUCACUGUAUAAAAUUUUCAAACCUUUGUAUCUAAAAAUGAAAAACACGGCAUGCCUCCAUGCUAAAGCAGCUUUCUACUUCCUGGUGUUUAUGCCUUAUUCCUGUUGUCCAUUUCUGCCCGCCGUCUCCCUCACCCAUUGUUCCAGGUAUUUAAGUGCCAAGGAGAUGGAAGUAUAGAGCUAGAACACAGCAUCACCUGGUGCUUAGGAGCUUUCUCAGUGUCCUGGCUCCAAGGUGCAUCCUUCCUUUGGAUCACUUCUACCAUGGUAGCAGCUUUGUUGUGGUUGGGGAAGGAAGGAGAGAACAUAGUGUGGAGAAGACCCAUUUCCCAGUACCAUUCAGUGACUGCGUGUGUGUGUGGCCCUAUGCCAUAACACAUUUUGACAGAAUACAUACAUAUAUGUAGAUGAAUUUGCAAAUGCAGCUACUCCAUACUAGCUGUAGGCGGCACCUGCCAUAAAAGAUACUUGUCUGAGGUUUACCUCUGACAAAAGGAUGAAAACAGCUAGGAAAAAUAAAUUGCUGUCUCUGGCAUCCAUUGUGAAUCUACCUCACAACAUAUGGGAAAUAAUGGUGCCACAGGGUAGAGUUGCAGCCUCUGUAGGAGUAAUGCCAUGAAUUGGAGUCUGUCACUCAUAAAGUCCUACUAUAGUUAAAUGCAGAGCUGAAGAUGGUCCUUUUCUGGACUGUUUCUCUAACCUCUCCCCAACAAUCUAUUGCCCUGGGUCUUAGUGUAAAUUGUCCAAAUUAAAUGAUCAGGGCAAAGCCCUUUUUGCUAAACCUGAGCCUCAGGAAUGCAGCCCAGAACCAAGGACUUGGUUACCAAAUGUCUCAGGACCUGUACAGAAAAACGCCACUGAUGCCAGACCUGGGUUCCUGGCCUAUUUUGAGAUUGCUGUCUCUGGCUUAGUUUUCUUAGCUACAACCUAGAAGAGAUCAUAGUGCCUUACUUCCCAGGGUUAUAAGGAUCAGUUGAGAUAGUAUUUGUAAAGUGCUUAGCAUGGCACCUGGCACAUAGUGUAUAAUGCCUAUUUUCCUUCCUUCCCAGUGUUGGGACAUUUGGGGAGUUGAGUAUGAGGGCAUCAUCACUCACACCUUCCCAUCCAUCAUCUCCAACUAUUCUGUGCCUAGUGCAGGUAUCUGGGUGUGCUUGAGUUUGCAGGGAGCUAAUAUCUGAGCUCAAGUUUAGACAAAUGGCACCCUUAGUUUGUAUUAGCAUCCCUUGAUUGGUGGUUUGUUACAUAUUAUGUCAUUAAUUGCAAUUGUCUAUUAAAGUUCUUCUGAAUAAACUGAA